UAGGGAAUCUUCGGCAAUGGACGAAAGUCUGACCGAGCAACGCCGCGUGAGUGAAGAAGGUUUUCGGAUCGUAAAACUCUGUUGUUAGAGAAGAACAAGGACGUUAGUAACUGAACGUCCCCUGACGGUAUCUAACCAGAAAGCCACGGCUAACUACGUGCCAGCAGCCGCGGUAAUACGUAGGUGGCAAGCGUUGUCCGGAUUUAUUGGGCGUAAAGCGAGCGCAGGCGGUUUCUUAAGUCUGAUGUGAAAGCCCCCGGCUCAACCGGGGAGGGUCAUUGGAAACUGGGAGACUUGAGUGCAGAAGAGGAGAGUGGAAUUCCAGGUGUAGCGGUGAAAUGCGUAGAUAUAUGGAGGAACACCGGUGGCGAAGGCGGCUCUCUGGUCUGUAACUGACGCUGAGGCUCGAAAGCGUGGGGAGCAAACAGG
rnacentral:rRNA from 1 species